AUCCGGACAACGUGGCCACCAACGAGGGAGCGAGGACGCCCGCAUCACCACUGGACUACAGAACAUCCCUAGUGGAAAUGACAUCGGUGCAAAUCUGGAGUUUACAAUUUGAUGUCACAGCACCUUCUGCCGAUGCUCCACCUCCCUCAGGAAUCCACAAAGAACUGGAAGUUCUGGGAAAAACCCAGAACGGAUGUCUGGCAAACCGAAAUUAGGGCGAGUGUGAAGUUGUGACCUCAAACUUCCACAAUGGGGUUUGUUUUCGCUCCACCCAUAACCCCACUGGACUGGUGUAUGAAAAGCUGUCAGACUGACUUCACUAGACGAAUGACUGCGGGCAUGUUAUGGUUUGGUUUCAAUUGUUGGUUUUUGGCUUAGUAGGUUUGAAUUUAGGAGAUGGAUUAGUUGAUUUACACAUCCACACAGUACUCUACAUACUCCCUUU
ensembl:lncRNA